rfam:Ciona savignyi cont_62590, whole genome shotgun sequence.
GCCCGGUUAGCUCAGCCGGUAGAGCAUUGGACUUUUUAAUCCAGCGGUCAAGGGUUCAAGUCCCUUAUCGGCUU